rnacentral:rRNA from 1 species
GGGGAAUUUUCCGCAAUGGGCGAAAGCGUGACGGAGCAAUACCGAGUGUGUGAUGAAGGUCUUAGGAUUGUAAAGCACUGUCAACAGGGACGAAGAUCUGACGGUACCUGUAGAGGAAGCACCGGCUAAAUACGUGCCAGCAGCUGCGGUAAUACGUAUGGUGCAAGCGUUAUUCGGAUUUAUUGGGCGUAAAGGGUCCGUAGGCGGUUUAUUAAGUCUGAUGUGAAAUCCUAUGGCUCAACCAUAGAACUGCAUUGGAAACUGAUGAACUUGAGUAUCGGAGAGGUAAGCGGAAUUCCUGGUGUAGCGGUGGAAUGCGUAGAUAUCAGGAGGAACACCGAGAGCGAAGGCAGCUUACUGGACGAAAACUGACGCUGAGGGACGAAGGCAUGGGGAGCGAAAGGGAUUAGAUACCCCUGU